rnacentral:rRNA from 1 species
CCUACGGGAGGCAGCAGUGGGGAAUCUUCCGCAAUGGGCGCAAGCCUGACGGAGCAACGCCGCGUGAGUGAAGAAGGGUUUCGACUCGUAAAGCUCUGUUGUUGGGGACGAAUGUGGAGAUGGUGAAUAACCAUUUUCAAUGACGGUACCUGACGAGGAAGCCACGGCUAACUACGUGCCAGCCAGCCCGCUGGUAAUAC